GCUGGGUGUGGUGGCAGGCGCCUGUAGUCCCAGCUACUUGGGAGGCUGAGGCAGGAGAAUCACUUGAACCCAGGAGGCAGAGGUCGCAGUGAGCCGAGAUCACGCCACUGGACUCCAGCCUGGGUGAUAGAGUGAGACUCUGUCUCAA
rnacentral:SRP_RNA from 1 species